UCAAUUUUUUUUUUUCUUUUGUUCAUUUGUUUACAUUCUACUCUAUGUUGUAUCUUUCACCAGCAAAUCUUUUCAAAGAAGAAACUGAAGAAACAUUGGAGCUUAUAAAAAUAGCUAAAAUUACCUUAAAAGCUUUAAGGAUCCAUUCUAUAGUCACAGAAACAAAUCGGAGAAUUACUUCACCUGUGGCAAGGAAUUUAAAUCAUGGGAUUUCAGAUCUGAGAUGGCGUUUUUCAGAUUUGAUGUGUUCCUCAACCACUGACUGAAGAUUGAGGACAUUUCUAUUAACAAGUUGUAAUUUCAAAAUCUGGAAAAGCUGGAAUUUUGUGGAAUCAAGGGGAAAUUUUAAGUGAGCAGAUCUGCAGAAUGAAUGAAGAGUUUCGGGAAAACUGAAAUUUUCAGAAAUAGAGCAUAAAAUCCUCCAGAUCACAGAAAUAUGGAAAGGUAAAAAAGAAGCUCUAUUAUACCUGGAUGACAAAGGAGAAAGUCUUGCUACAAUAUACAAGAUGCUGCAAGACCAUAGCUGCCAGAUCCAUAUCUUGUUGAGGAAUUGCCUGAAAAAUGCAAUGCCAUUGAGAAGAGAGCUGUGUUGAAGUACAGAAUAGCUUCUCUUCAGACCUCCAAGGUUGCAGUUAUUAGAUGAAGAUGCAUAUUACUUGAUGUAUGUUGAAUUCUAUGUUUCAGAACAGCACUGAUGAUUGGACUAAAACCCAGUAGAGACAGAUUAAUGUGGAACAGAUGGAUGGGG